rfam:Puccinia triticina 1-1 BBBD Race 1 supercont2.86, whole genome shotgun sequence.
GCGUCUGCAGCCUAGUUGGUAAAGGCAGCACUCUAGUAUGUGUCUAAGCAUAGCUGAGGUUGUGAGUUCGACUCUCACCAGACACA